rnacentral:rRNA from 1 species
CAAGUCGAGCGGCAGCGCGGGGCAACCUGGCGGCGAGCGGCGAACGGGUGAGUAAUGCAUCGGAACAUGUCCUGUCGUGGGGGAUAGCCCGGCGAAAGCCGGAUUAGUACCGCAUACGUCCGAGAGGAGAAAGUGGGGGACCGCAAGGCCUCACGCGAUUGGGUUGGCCGAUGUCCGAUUAGCUAGUUGGUGGGGUAAAGGCUCACCAAGGCGAUGAUCGGUAGCUGGUCUGAGAGGAUGAUCAGCCACACUGGGACUGAGACACGGCCCAGACUCCUACGGGAGGCAGCAGUGGGGAAUUUUGGACAAUGGGGGCAACCCUGAUCCAGCCAUUCCGCGUGAGUGAAGAAGGCCUUCGGGUUGUAAAGCUCUUUUGUCCGGAACGAAACGGUUAGUUCUAAUACGACUGACUACUGACGGUACCGGAAGAAUAAGCACCGGCUAACUACGUGCCAGCAGCCGCGGUAAUACGUAGGGUGCGAGCGUUAAUCGGAAUUACUGGGCGUAAAGCGUGCGCAGGCGGUUUUGUAAGCCAGAUGUGAAAUCCCCGGGCUUAACCUGGGAAUGGCAUUUGGGACUGCAAGGCUGGAGUGCGGCAGAGGAGACUGGAAUUCCUGGUGUAGCAGUGAAAUGCGUAGAUAUCAGGAGGAAUACCGAUGGCGAAGGCAGGUCUCUGGGCUGACACUGACGCUCAUGCACGAAAGCGUGGGGAGCAAACAGGAUUAGAUACCCUGGUAGUCCACGCCCUAAACGAUGUCGACUGGUUGUUGGGGGUUUGACACUCUCAGUAACGAAGCUAACGCGUGAAGUCGACCGCCUGGGGAGUACGGCCGCAAGGUUAAAACUCAAAGGAAUUGACGGGGACCCGCACAAGCGGUGGAUUAUGUGGAUUAAUUCGAUGCACCGCGAAAAACCUUACCUACC